rnacentral:rRNA from 1 species
CGGGGGGCUGUAAGUAAGCGUUGAUCCGGAGAUUGCCGAAUGGGGGAACCCACUGUACGUAAUGGGGCAGUAUCCAUACGGGAAUCCAUAGCGUAUGGAGGGAAUACCCGGGGAACUGAAACAGCUAAGUACCCGGAGGAGAAGAAAGCAAAAGCGAUUCCCGAAGUAGCGGCGAGCGAAACGGGAACAGCACAAACCAAGAGGCUUGCCUCUUGGGGUUGUAGGACAAUCAAUACGGAGUGACAAAGGAAUGGAGUAGACGAAGCGGUCUGGACAGGCCCGCCAGAGGAGGUAACAGCCCUGUAGUCGAAACUUCGUUCCCUACUGAGUGGAUCCUGAGUACGGCGGGACACGAGGAAUCCCGUCGGAAGCAUGGAGGACCAUCUCCCAAGGCUAACUACA